ACGGAAGGCAGCAGUAGGGAAUAUUGCACAAUGGGGGUAACCCUGAUGCAGCGACGCCGCGUGAGUGAUGAAGUAUUUCGGUACGUAAAACUCUAUCAGCAGGGAAGAUAAUGACGGUACCUGACUAAGAAGCCCCGGCUAACUACGUGCCAGCAGCCGCGGUAAUACGUAGGGGGCAAGCGUUAUCCGGAUUUACUGGGUGUAAAGGGAGUGUAGGUGGCCUGGCAAGCCAGAUGUGAAAGCCCGCAGCUCAACUGCGGGACUGCAUUUGGAACUGUUAGGCUUGAGUGCAGGAGAGGAAAGUGGAAUUCCUAGUGUAGCGGUGAAAUGCGUAGAUAUUAGGAAGAACACCAGUGGCGAAGGCGGUUAGCUGGACAAUAACUGACGCUGAGGCGCGAAAGCGUGGGUAGCAAACAGGAUUAGAUACCCUGGUA
rnacentral:rRNA from 1 species